rnacentral:lncRNA from 1 species
GUGCUAGAGAUUCGUUAGUAAACAAAACAGGAAUAUUCGUUUACAAUGUGGAGCUUUCAAUGUUCUGACCCUGUUGACCUUCCUUCUUCGAAUUUCAUGAACUCGCUUACUUCUGGUUAGUGAAAUCACUGAUGGUUCUUUUAAUGCUGAUUCCUCCCCCCAUGAUUGUACUCAGGGCCCUCUCUUUCCCUGAUGAUUGAUUUUCUUGAUACUUCGUGGGUGAUUUCAUAUGGCUAAGACUUUCAGGUUGUCAUCUGCCCAUACACAGAAGAAGUCCUGAGGGAACCCACGAGUUUCCUCUCACUGCUUCUAUGCUGUGUAGACACCUUCUCCAGUUAGAAAACCAUCACUAAGGAGCUUCCAUGAUCAUGGUGGAGGCGGCAAAUAGUGUGUAUUUUGUAGGGAGGAGGCAGCGAGGACAAGUUGCCUCUAUCCACUUUAGCCAGAAGAUUAGUACUGAUUUCUAAAACUUUCAAAUUUGUCUUUAAAAAAAUUGCACCCAUAUAGCAUAUACAUUUAGUUGUAUGCACACACACACUCACAUAAACUUCUUCGUAUACAGUGAUUUAGUAUAAUCAUAGGACGAUUGUAUUUUCCUUUUGUUUGUAACAACUUUAUUGAGAUAUAAUUGGCAUAUAAUGAACUGAUCAUGUUUAAACUAUACAACUUGAUAAGUUUUGACAUGCAUACACCUAUAGAACCUACACAAUCAAGGUAAUGAACAGGCCAGGUGUGAUGGCUUACACCUGUAAUCCCAGCAUUUUGGAAGGCUGAGGAAACAGAAUCACUUGAGCCUAGAAGUUCAAAAUGAGCCUGGGCAACACUGGAGAACUCUCUCACCACAAAAAAAUUAAAAAUUAACUGGGUAUGUUGGUUCGUAUCUGUAGUCCCAGCUACUCAGGAGGCUGAGGUGGGCAGAUUGCUUGAGCCCAGGAGGUCAAGACUGCAGUAAGCCGUGAUGAUGACACCAUAUUUUAGCUUGGGUGACAGAGUGACAUUCCAUCUCAAAGAAAAAAAUGAACGUAUCCAUCACUCCCAAAAGUUUCCUCCUGUCUCUUUGUGAUUCCUUUCUCGCCCACCUCCCUUCUGUCUCCACCCCAGCUUAUUCCCUAGCAAGAAAAAAAAAAAAAA